UACGAAGGGGGCUAGCGUUGCUCGGAAUCACUGGGCGUAAAGGGCGCGUAGGCGGAUCUUUAAGUCGGGGGUGAAAGCCUGAGGCUCAACCUCAGAAUUGCCUUCGAUACUGGAGAUCUUGAGACCGGAAGAGGUGAGUGGAACUGCGAGUGUAGAGGUGAAAUUCGUAGAUAUUCGCAAGAACACCAGUGGCGAAGGCGGCUCACUGGUC
rnacentral:rRNA from 1 species